rnacentral:rRNA from 1 species
CGAACGGGUGAGUAACACGUAAGGAACCAACCCUAAAAGCGAGGAUAACUCUGGGAAACUGGAGCUAAUACUGGAUAGGAUAUAUUGUCAUAAGGCGAUAUAUUUAAAGGUGCCCUAAAGCACCGAUUUAGGAUGGUCUUGCGUCGCAUUAGAUAGUUGGUGAGGGUAACGGCCCACCAAGUCAACGAUGCGUAGCUGAGCUGAGAGGCUGAACAGCCACACUGGGACUGAGACACGGCCCAGACUCC